GAUCAUGGCUCAGGACGAACGCUGGCGGCGUGCUUAACACAUGCAAGUCGAACGGAGCACCCUUGACUGAGGUUUCGGCCAAAUAAUAGGGAUGCUUAGUGGCGGACUGGUGAGUAACGCGUGAGGAACCUACCUUCCAGAGGGGGACAACAGUUGGAAACGACUGCUAAUACCGCAUGACGCAUGACCGGGGCAUCCCGGGCAUGUCAAAGAUUUUAUCGCUGGAAGAUGGCCUCGCGU
rnacentral:rRNA from 1 species